CUGAAACAGGUUGUCACUGGCAGGCAGCAAAGCAGGAGGUGUGGAAACGGGCGGCCGUGUCGUCAGAUGGAGGUUUCUGAAAGUUCAAGGGAGCCAUGGUUACAAACACCUCCUGUACGGUCAGGCCCUUGGGCGCAGUGCGGGGACACUGGGCGGGAAGAGAAGAACCCCAGACUCCUGUUGGAACCAGUAUAUCUACAUGUUGAAACAGACACAGAGCUGGAAGAUGGGAAGCGGAUCAGAAAUGCCCUAGGUUGGUUGCAGUUGUACCUAUCAACCAUUACCCAGCUCUUACUCCAGGACUCCGAACACUUUUUGUGGAACAGACUUUGCUGUGUCCGGUUCCUGGUGCCACCAUCCUCUGCACAGCAUCCUGUACCUGUAGAUUCUGCAGAAGCUCCUGCUUCAUUUCCUGCUGGAAUGGAAUGAUUCAGGAUCCCCCACUGUCCAUCAUCCCUGAGGGGGAGCAGUACUGAAGAAGAGCUUCUCAU
ensembl:lncRNA